rnacentral:tRNA from 1 species
GGGGGUGUAGCUCAGUGGUAGAGUGUUCGCUUCGCAUGUGAAAAGUCCCGGGUUCGAACCCCGGCACCUCCA